rnacentral:rRNA from 1 species
AUUGAACGCUGGCGGCAGGCUUAACACAUGCAAGUCGAGCGGGGGAGUUGCUUCGGUAACUAACCUAGCGGCGGACGGGUGAGUAAUGCUUAGGAAUCUGCCUAUUAAUGGGGGACAACAUCUCGAAAGGGAUGCUAAUACCGCAUACGCCCUACGGGGGAAAGCAGGGGAUCUUCGGACCUUGCGUUAAUAGAUGAGCCUAAGUCGGAUUAGCUAGUUGGUGGGGUAAAGGCCUACCAAGGCGACGAUCUGUAGCGGGUCUGAGAGGAUGAUCCGCCCCACUGGGACUGGGACACGGCCCAGACUCCUACGGGAGGCAGCAGUGGGGAAUAUUGGACAAUGGGGGGAACCCUGAUCCAGCCAUGCCGCGUGUGUGAAGAAGGCCUUAUGGUUGUAAAGCACUCUAAGCGAGGAGGAGGCUUCUUUGGUUAAUACCCAAAGUAAGUGGACGUUACUCGCAGAAUAAGCACCGGCUAACUCUGUGCCAGCCGCCGCCGUAACAC